GUCCAGGGAUGGGAAUCGAACCCACAUUGUUCCGCUUACCGGGCAGAUGCCAUGUCCACUAGGCUACCCUGGA